UACGGGGGGGGUAAGCGUUGUUCGGAAUUACUGGGCGUAAAGGGCUCGUAGGCGGCCUGUUAAGUCGAACGUGAAAUCCCCGGGCUCAACCCGGGAACUGCGUCCGAUACUGGCAGGCUUGAAUCCGGGAGAGGGAUGCGGAAUUCCAGGUGUAGCGGUGAAAUGCGUAGAGAUGUGGAGGAACACCAGUGGCGAAGGCGGCUUUCUGGUCUGUAACUGACGCUGAGGCGCGAAAGCGUGGGGAGCAAACAGG
rnacentral:rRNA from 1 species